rnacentral:rRNA from 1 species
AGAGCGAACGCUGGCGGCAUGCUUAACACAUGCAAGUCGCACGGUUCGGGCUUUUGGGUUCGGGCAGUGGCGGACGGGUGAGUAUCGCGUAGGGAUUUGUCGUUGGGUGGGGGAUAACCUUGGGAAACUGGGGCUAAUACCGCAUGACGCCUGUGGGCCAAAGGCCGUGAGGCCGCCUGAUGAGGAGCCUGCGUCCGAUUAGCUAGUUGGUGGGGUAAAGGCCUACCAAGGCGACGACGGGUAG